GGCCCGUUCGUCUAGUGGUUAGGACUCAGGAUUCUCAUUCCUGCAACAGGGGUUCGAUCCCCCUACGGGCUGCCA
rnacentral:tRNA from 1 species